UGCAACUUCCCCUCCAAAUGAAAUGUCAAAAUUGUGCUCUCUCCUUGGAAGUUUUAUUGGGUUGGCUAAACGAACACGAUUUCGUAACAAUUGGAACCAACUUGUACAAAUUUUUUGCAUAGCAAACACUCCUAAUCAAAUUCGGCCGCAGCUGCAGUUCACCAGAGAAUGCUGCAAAUGGAAUGGUUCAUCUUAGCUCUUAACCACAAUACCAGCACAGGUCGGCCAGGAAAACACUAAGGAAAUGACCUAAUAAAUGCAAAAUUAUAAUUUAUUUGUAAAAUAAUUCGGCUUUAUUACAAUACUUACCAAAUUUUACGCAAUUAGAAAUCAAAUGUCAGCGAAUAAGAACAAAACGAACAACGAAAAUUGAAUCAAAUUAGCUUGUUUAGAAUUUUUUUCUAAUAUUUUGGGAAAUGUUCAGUGAAAUUAGCAAUGAAACAACACUGUUUCUCCUAAGGUAGUUCAAGAUGGCGGAUUAGAGCGAGAAGUUGCCAACGUAUAACACCUUUCAUUAUUGCAUCAUGGAGCGCUAUCACCAA